rnacentral:rRNA from 1 species
AGAGUUUGAUCCUGGCUCAGACUGUACGCUGGCGGCAGGCCUAACACAUGCAAGUCGAGCGGAUGAGUGGAGCUUGCUCCAUGAUUCAGCGGCGGACGGGUGAGUAAUGCCUAGGAAUCUGCCUGGUAGUGGGGGACAACGUUUCGAAAGGAACGCUAAUACCGCAUACGUCCUACGGGAGAAAGCAGGGGACCUUCGGGCCUUGCGCUAUCAGAUGAGCCUAGGUCGGAUUAGCUAGUAGGUGAGGUAAAGGCUCACCUAGGCGACGAUCCGUAACUGGUCUGAGAGGAUGAUCAGUCACACUGGAACUGAGACACGGUCCAGACUCCUACGGGAGGCAGCAGUGGGGAAUAUUGGACAAUGGACGAAAGCCUGAUCCAGCCAUGCCGCGUGUGUGAAGAAGGUCUUCGGAUUGUAAAGCACUUUAAGUUGGGAGGAAGGGCAGUAAGUUAAUACCUUGCUGUUUUGACGUUACCAACAGAAUAAGCACCGGCUAACUUCGUGCCAGCAGCCGCGGUAAUACGAAGGGUGCAAGCGCUAAUCGGAAUUACUGGGCGUAAAGCGCGCGUAGGUGGUUCAGCAAGUUGGAGGUGAAAUCCCCGGGCUCAACCUGGGAACUGCCUCCAAAACUACUGAGCUAGAGUACGGUAGAGGGUAGUGGAAUUUCCUGUGUAGCGGUGAAAUGCGUAGAUAUAGGAAGGAACACCAGUGGCGAAGGCGACUACC